CGAGGAGAAAAUCGACCAAUAUUUCGAGUAAGAGGAGUUGAGGAUCCAAAUUAAACUUCUAAGAAUGGCUUCCAUGCGCACGAUGUCACUUGAAGAGUCACAAUUUUGAGGCACCUUAAGGCCAGUUUACACCCGCAAUUUUUGUUGCGAUUUCUAUUGCGAUUUUUCUUCUGAGGGAUGUGAAUGAGUAAAUAAGUUAUAAAUGCUCUGAGUAUAUGUUCCCUCAUCUAAACAUUCCUAACUCAUUCACUCGUUCACAUACAUCAGGAGAAGAAAAUCGCACCUAAAAUCGCAGCAAAUAUUGCAUGUGUAAAUGGGUCUCUACAAGGAUUUUGUUUAUAGGAUUUUAUCACUCGCACUUGCAUUCUUUGGGAACAGCUAAUACUGUGUUCCCAAUUAAUUGAACGAAUACACCUCUAUUUUUAUCUUUAAACCAGCGUUGGUCAUUGCAUAUCAAAGAACAGCAGAUUAUAAUGGUUAUAAAUAUCGCUACGUUGUCACUCCUACACAUACGUCUGUUCGUUGGGUAGACUUCUAUAGAGCUGAGCAAGAAUGUGUCAAAUGGGGAGGACAUUUGACAAGUAUUCAUUCACAACAGGAGCUUAAUUUCGUUAAGG